rnacentral:lncRNA from 8 species
AUUUGGUUCACAAAGUUACCAUAAAUUAAAAAUGACAGCCUGUGAAUGUGAAUCAUAACAGGCAGCGGGUACAGAAAUUAAUGUCUUUGUGUGCACUGUGCAUCAUGUAGCUACAGUAUGUAUAUGAACCAAGAGAGGUCUGAACCUGGACCCAAAUGAGCAUGCAUGCCCAAAAGUGCCAUGUUAUAUCCUGAAACCAGAGAGUUGCUCAUUCAAGCUCUUCAGACCAGUGUAUACCAAGGCUUCUUUGCUGUCUAUGUCAAACAGUGAGGGGAUGAGCGGUGGCAAAAUGAAAGUGGUGGGCUGCCUCUCCCGAGCGGCGGAGGCCAAACGACGGGUGACAGACGGCCAGGACAUGCUGACCUCCAUGACACAGAUGGUGGCCCGCACCCAGGACAUCCAGCAGAGAUACCGCAGCAUCCUGGGGCCGCUGUCCCUCUUCUUCCAGUCCAACCCCGAGGGAGAGAAGAGGGCAGACAGGGUCCAGGAGGAGAGGCCAGUGUCCCCGUCGGUGUCAGAGGGGGUGAAGACCAACCCCACCUCCCUGGCCGACAUGUGUCAGCAGCUGCAGUACAGGAUCCAGGAGCAUACCGUGCUCCACUCCACCCCUGUGGAGGAUCAGCAAGCUCUGGCGGCGGUGAUGACGUCAGAGCUGGGCCUGAUCUGGCAGGACCUGAAGGGGCUGAUGGACGAGCCCACGCUGACCCAGGAGGAGAACAGGCAGCUGCAGGCGGAGACGUGCCAGGAGGUGCUCCGGAUCUGCAAGGAGCUCUACCUCAACUAUCUCCACCUGCUGGACAGGCUGAGGCGCCGCGCCGUCUUCAGCGACCAGGCCAACCGCAGCCGCCUGGGGGCCCAGAUGGCCAUAGACUGCACCAGCCUUUUAAACGUCCACUCGAUCAGACGCAGCGUAGCGGCAGGGAUCAAGGCUAUGCGGAGAGCCCGGCUGAGCGCUGAGAGACCCAGAGCUGCCGAAUGCGACCUGAAGGGGGCGAUGGAGACACACACGGCGCUGCCAUGCAAACUGGACUUCGGUCUGACUCUGCAGACCAAGGCUGGCUGCAAGAAGAGCGGUGCCAUCAGGCAGGGAAAAAACCCUAUGGAGAGGGACCUCCGAGAGGUGAGAGACAGAGAAAGAGAGAGGGAGAGAGAGAGUGUGUGUGUGUUGUGUGUGUGUGAGUGUGGGUCGGUGGGUUUGUGUGUGUGCGUGUGUGUCUGUCUGUGUGUAUGCGGUACCUACAUCUUUCUGUGUGGGUGUGUGUGUCUCCAUGCGUGUGAAUGUGUGUGUACACUUGCAUCUCUGCUGUUUUGGUGUGUGUGUGUCUGUGGUAAAGCUACAGGGAGCUGAGAUGUUCCCUUCUCUCUCCCUGUCUGUCUGUCAGAUGACUGAGAAGAUGGGAGACAUGGACCUGGAGCAGGUCUAUGACCUGAUGCCCUGCCACCUGGAGCUGAUCACCAACAAAGGCUUGCUAUCUCUCUCUCGUCUCUUUCUCUGUCGCUCUGUCUCUGUCUCUUUCUCUGUCUCUUUCUUUCUCUCUCUCUGUCUCUCUCUUUCUCUCACACAGACAGGCACACACACAUAUAGUAAAGUACACUUGUGACAAUGAUAAACAAUUGUUUGUUAGUACUAGUAGUAGUGAUAUGUGUGUGUGUUUAGGUGAAGCGCGGGCCAGCUUGGCCAAUGUUUCACAGUCAGAUGAGGAACCCAGCAUGUAUUACCAUGGCUACACCAGACUUAAGGUAUUGGUAUAGUUCCACUAUACUAUACACAUCAUACGCUAUUCACACCCACUCCAACUGGUCCCUGAAGACAUGCAUACAGGAUGGUUAUUAUUUACAAGUCAUAACUUAUUUAGUUAUUUUUAUGAGUUAUAUUUGUAAGUCGCUCUGGAUAAGAGCGUCUGCUAAAUGACGUAAAUGUAAAAAUGUAAAUGUAAUAUUUUAUGGAGUUAUUUUUGUGAGCACCCAGGGGUGUAGUUCCAUGCCAGACCUGCAGAGGGAGACUCUCCUGGAGGAGCUGGAGAUGGAGGCCCUGCCUGCCAGACCCCAGUCCCCCCUGGUGCUGCUGGCCACUGGGCCCUGCUCCAGCAUCGAGAAGCCCAUUGACCCUGCCCACGACCUUAGGAGGUGUGUGUGGGAGGGAGUGUGUGUGUGUGUGUAUUUUUGUGCUUGGGUGUGUGUAUUUUGUGCUUGUGUGUAUGUUUGUUCUUAUGUUUGUGUACAGUGAGGGGAAAAAGUAUUUGAUCCCCUGCUGAUUUUGUACGUUUGCCCACUGACAAAGAAAUGAUCAGUCUAUAAUUUUAAUGGUAGGUUUAUUUGAACAGUGAGAGACAGAAUAACAACACAAAAAUCCAGAAAAACGCAUGUCAAAAAUGUUAUAAAUUGAUUUGCAUUUUAAUGACGGAAAUAAGUAUUUGACCACUCUGCAAAACAUGACUUAGUACUUGGUGGCAAAACCCUUGUUGGCAAUCACAGAGGUCAGACGUUUCUUGUAGUUGGCCACCAGGUUUGCACACAUCUCAGGAGGGAUUUUGUCCCACUCCUCUUUGCAGAUCUUCUCCAAGUCAUUAAGGUUUCGAGGCUGACGUUUGGCAACUCGAACCUUCAGCUCCCUCCACAGAUUUUCUUUGGGAUUAAGGUCUGGAGACUGGCUAGGCCACUCCAGGACCUUAAUGUGCUUCUUCUUGAGCCACUCCUUUGUUGCCUUGGCCGUGUGUUUUGGGUCAAUGUCAUGCUGGAAUACCCAUCCACGACCCAUUUUCAAUGCCCUGGCAGAGGGAAGGAGGUUCUCACCCAAGAUUUGACGGUACAUGGCCCCGUCCAUCGUCCCUUUGAUGCGGUGAAGUUGUCCUGUCCCCUUAGCAGAAAAACACCCCCAAAGCAUAAUGUUUCCACCUCCAUGUUUGACGAUGGGGAUGGUGUUCUUGGGGUCAUAGGCAGCAUUCCUCCUCCUCCAAACACGGCGAGUUGAGUUGAUGCCAAAGAGCUCCAUUUUGGUCUCAUCUGACCACAACACUUUCACCCAGUUGUCCUCUGAAUCAUUCAGAUGUUCAUUGGCAAACUUCAGACGGGCAUGUAUAUGUGCUUUCUUGAGCAGGGGGACCUUGUGGGCGCUGCAGGAUUUCAGUCCUUCACGGCGUAGUGUGAUACCAAUUGUUUUCUUGGUGACUAUGGUCCCAGCUGCCUUGAGAUCAUUGACAAGAUCCUCCCAUGUAGUUCUGGGCUGAUUCCUCACCGUUCUCAUGAUCAUUGCAACUCCACGAGGUGAGAUCUUGCAUGGAGCCCCAGGCCGAGGGAGAUUGACAGUUCUUUUGUGUUUCUUCCAUUUGCGAAUAAUCGCACCAACUGUUGUCACCUUCUCACCAAGCUGCUUGGCGAUGGUCUUGUAGCCCAUUCCAGCCUUGUGUAGGUCUACAAUCUUGUCCCUGACAUCCUUGGAGAGCUCUUUGGUCUUGGCCAUGGUGGAGAGUUUGGAAUCUGAUUGAUUGAUUGCUUCUGUGGACAGGUGUCUUUUAUACAGGUAACAAGCUGAGAUUAGGAGCACUCCCUUUAAGAGUGUGCUCCUAAUCUCAGCUCGUUACAUGUAUAAAAGACACCUGGGAGCCAGAAAUCUUUCUGAUUGAGAUGGGGUCAAAUACUUAUUUCCCUCAUUAAAAUGCAAAUCAAUUUAUAACAUUUUUGACAUGUGUUUAUGGGGAUGUUUUUGUUGUUGUUCUGUCUCUCACUGUUCAAAUAAACCUACCAUUAAAAUUAUAGACUGAUCAUUUCUUUGUCAGUGGGCAAACGUACAAAAUCAGCAGGGGAUCAAAUACUUAUUUCCCUCACUGUAUGUGUCUAGGUUGCUACAGGACAGAGUGAUUGUGGAUCAGGCUGUGACAGAUUCUGACACAGACCUCCCUCCACUGAUCAAGGCCCUGACGUGGAGAAGCUCCACCAAACUACAACAGCUCACCCACACUCUGCAGGUAGGGAACACACUCUGUAGGUAGGGAACACACUCUGCAGGUAGGAUACACACUCUGCAGGUAGGGAACACACUCUGCAGGUAGGGAACACACUCUGUAGGUAGGGAACACACUCUGCAGGUAGGAUACACACUCUGCAGGUAGGGAACACACUCUGCAGGUAGGGAACACACUCUGCAGGUAGGGAACACACUCUGAAGGUAGGAAACACACUCUGUAUGUAGGGAACACACUCUGCAGGUAGGAAACACACUCUGUAUGUAGGGAACACACUCUGCAGGUAGGAAACACACUCUGUUUGUAGGGAACACACUCUGCAGGUAGGAAACACACUCUGUAGGAAGGAAACACACUCUAGGUAGGAAAGACACUCUGUAGGUAGGAAAGACACUCUGCAGGUAUGAAACACACUCUGCAGGUAUGAAACACACUCUGCAGGUAGGGAACACACUCUGUAGGUAGGGAACACACUGCAGGUAGGGAACACACUCUGCAGGUAUGAAACACACUCUGCAGGUAGGAAACACACUCUGCAGGUAGGGAACACACUCUACAGGUAGGGACACUCUGCAGGUAUGAAACACACUGCAGGUAGGAAACACACUCUGCAGGUAGGAAACACACUCUGCAGGUAGAGAACACACUCUGCAGGUAGGGAACACACUCUGUAGGUAGGGAACACACUCUGCAGGUAGGGAACACACUCUGCAGGUAGGGAACACACUCUGCAGGUAGGAAACACACUCUGCAGGUAGGGAACACACUCUGCAGGUAGGGAACACACUCUGCAGGUAGGAAACACACUCUGCAGGUAGGAAACACACUCUGCAGGUAGGGAACACACUCUGUAGGUAGGGAACACACCUCUGCAGGUAGGAAACACACUCUGCAGGUAGGAAACACACUCUGCAGGUAGGGUCCACACUCUGCAGGUAGGGAACACACUCUGCAGGUAGGGAACACACUCUGUAGGAAGGAAACACACUCUGUAGGAAGGAAACACACUCUGCAGGUAGGAAACACACUCUGCAGGUAGGGAACACACUCUGUAGGAAGGAAACACACUCUGCAGGUAGAAAAAACACUCUGCAGGUAGGGAACACACUCUGUAGGUAGGGAACACACUCUGUAGGUAGGGAACACACCUCUGCAGGUAGGAAACACACUCUGCAGGUAGGAAACACACUCUGCAGGUAGGGAACACACUCUGUAGGUAGGGAACACACCUCUGCAGGUAGGAAACACACUCUGCAGGUAGGAAACACACUCUGCAGGUAGGGAACACACUCUGCAGGUAGGGAACACACUCUGCAGGUAGGGAACACACUCUGUAGGAAGGAAACACACUCUGUAGGAAGGAAACACACUCUGUAGGAAGGAAACACACUCUGUAAGAAGGAAACACACUCUGCAGGUAGGAAACACACUCUGCAGGUAGGGAACACACUCUGUAGGAAGGAAACACACUCUGCAGGUAGAAAAAACACUCUGCAGGUAGGGAACACACUGUAGGCAGGGAACACACUCUGUAGGCAGGGAACACACUCUGUAGGUAGGGAACACACUCUGCAGGUAGGAAACACACUCUGUAGGAAGGAAACACACUCUGUAGGAAGGAAACACACUCUGCAGGUAGGAAACACACUCUGCAGGUAGGGAACACACUCUGUAGGCAGGGAACGCACUCUGCAGGUAGGGAACACACUGUAGGUAGGGAACAAACCCUGCAGGUAGGAAACACACUCUGUAGGUAGGGAACACACUAUGCAGGCAGGGAACACACUCUGCAGGUAGGGAACACACUCUCUAUGUAGGGAACACACUCUGUAGGUAGGAAACACACUCUGCAGGUAGGGAACACACUCUGUAGGUAGGGAACACACUCUGUAGGAAGGAAACACACUCUGCAGGUAGGAAACACACUCUGCAGGUAGGGAACACACUCUGUAGGAAGGAAACACACUCUGUAGGAAGGAAACACACUCUGUAGGAAGGAAACACACUCUGUAGGAAGGAAACACACUCUGCAGGUAGGAAACA